UUUGGCAGCACAUAUACAAAAAAUAAAAAUAAAAAUGGAACGAUACAGAGAAGAUUAGCAUGGCCCCUGCACAAGGAUGAUAUGCAAAUUCAUGUAACGUUCUAUAUUAAA